rnacentral:lncRNA from 1 species
AUUUUCUUUAACUUUUGUGUGUUGAAAACACCGUGCUAAUGAAAUUGGUUCCACAAGGAGCUACUGAGAACGAGGUGGAAGGGUUAGGAGAGAGAAUGACACGUCUCUGAGAUUGAGCAGAUGAAUAAAUACAAUGCGGAUUUGGGAUCCAGAAAUCUGGAAACAUAUCUACAUACAUGUUUCCUAGCUCUGCCCACUUAAGAGGUCCCAGGGCAGUGACACCCCAGUGACGGUGAGCACACUUACUACCCAGAUCUUCGUUUCCACUGAAGGGAGCCGGGGCUCCCAGGAGAAAUGGCUGACUCCAGGCUGCGCCAGGCAGAGUACAAGACGAGCUGGAACAUCUCGUGCCCAAGAGCAGGAAGGUACCCAGAGAAGGAUGGAGACACG